AUGCACGCUGGCGGUAUGCUUCACCCCUGCAAGUCGAACGGACUCUUCGGAGUUAGUGGCGGACGGGUGAGUAACGCGUGAGAAUCUGGCUUUGGGUUCGGGACAACCACUGGAAACGGUGGCUAAUACCGGAUGUGCCGAGAGGUAAAAGAGAAAUUGCCUGAAGAUGAGCUCGCGUCUGAUUAGCUAGUUGGUGAGGUAAAGGCUCACCAAGGCAGCGAUCAGUAGCUGGUCUGAGAGGAUGACCAGCCACACUGGGACUGAGACACGGCCCAGACUCCUACGGGAGGCAGCAGUGGGGAAUUUUCCGCAAUGGGCGAAAGCCUGACGGAGCAAUACCGCGUGAGGGAAGAAGGCUCUUGGGUUGUAAACCUCUUUUCUUAGGGAAGAACAAAAUGACGGUACCUAAGGAAUCAGCAUCGGCUAACUCCGUG
rnacentral:rRNA from 1 species